CAGGAAAAGAAGUCUCAGCAUAGGAGUAGGCAACUCAUUAUCUCACUAGAUCCUACUUGCAGCCUCUGGGAGAUGAAAGCAGUCUGAAGACAAGCCUCUUAGCACUGUACUGGGGGAGCAGCCAGAAGAUACCAAACAGAAGUCCCUGAUGGAGAAAUCAUGACCUAGAAGUGGCCCUUUCUCCUCUAAACCUGCAUCAGUAGAGCACAAGAUCUGAAAGA